CACGCCCUAAACGAUGUCAACUAGGUGUCGGGAGCGCAAGUUCUUGGUACCGCAGCUAACGCGUGAAGUUGACCGCCUGGGGAGUACGGUCGCAAGAUUAAAACUCAAAGGAAUUGACGGGGACCCGCACAAGCGGUGGAUGAUGUGGAUUAAUUCGAUGCAACGCGAACAACCUUACCUACCCUUGACAUGUCCGGAACCCUGCUGAAAGGCGGGGGUGCCCGAAAGGGAAUCGGAACACAGGUGC
rnacentral:rRNA from 1 species